rfam:Daphnia magna strain Xinb3 contig24985, whole genome shotgun sequence.
GACGAGGUGACCGAGUGGUUAAGGUGAUGGACUGCUAACCUAUUGAGCAUUGCACGCAUAGGUUCGCAUCCUAUCUUCGUCG